rnacentral:lncRNA from 1 species
AUGCGCCAUCGCACGGAGUCGGCGGCGCGCUCUCGCGGUCUUGCGCGUGCGCGUGUCCUGCUGGGUGGUGCGGAGAGGGUGGGUUGCGCUGCCCCGAAGCAGGGGACGUUGCGUGGUCCCGGGGCUGUGGGGGCAUGGUGCAUUGUCCUAGGGAUGAUUGAGGAACGGCAUCGUCCCAGAAUUAGGGGGUGCGGCAUUGGUCCAUCACCCGCCCACCUCCUGUUCGAGGCAGUUGUCCGUAGUGACCUUUCUUUCGUGAGAAAAGGUGGAAGAAGAGGUGGAGAAGAUGUGGCUUCCCUUGUCCUUGGUGGGUUGGUUUUUAACAUCUUGUGUUUGUCUUCCUCAUUUCUAUCUCAAAAAAGUCAGAGUCACUUCAUACUAACCCAGGCUUCCUGGUUCGUUACAGUGGCAGAUCAACAGAUUUCUAAUGCCAUACAACUGUAUCCACAUGCUUCUUUUCCCCAUGGGGUAACAGGAAUGUCUAUUCAGGACAAAAUGAGAAGCACUAUCACCUUCUCCAUGCCUUGGAAGGUUUGCUAUGAUGUACUGCUGACUCUCUGCAAGCUUCCCCAGCCCCUCCUGCUCACGACUCUGGGAGGUUGGGAGGGGAGUCAAAUUCCUGGUGUCUUCUACCAGUCACGAGGGGCGUGCUAACCCAGUCCUUAGAGACAGGUGUCCAAAUGGUGGGAUUUUAGCAAAUCCACAUUGCUCCCUCCCUCAGGGUCUGAGAGGGCCCAGCACACCAGCUACUGGGAGUAGCAGUGCAGAACCACCAGGAAAUGGUGGCAAGCAUUUGGCUGUGCCUUUGCUGAUGAAGGCAGAGUGUGGCCUGGCCUCCUUGCUGGUGCAGGCUUUGGGCCUGUUCCUGCUGACACGGAGCUCCAGCCAUAACUAGAGAUGCUUCUCAACCAAGCAGUGCAGUGAUGUGAAGAAGAUGAAACCUAUGAACUACUAGAAGCAGCAAUCAUCUGUCUAGAGAAGACAAAUUGGUCCUUUUCCUUGGUUCUGCUAGUAUCUGUCCCCCUACUUGGCACAUUCAUCACUAUGAACACCUCCUCUCUAAGAGAGAAAUAUUUUAUCUGGCUAACAGAUUGCCAAAGCCAUUUCAUGGGAUAUCUCAGACAAUAAAUCUGGUAUCAAAUCCCUUCUCUUACUCUAA